rnacentral:lncRNA from 1 species
CAGGAUUCCAGUUAUCUAAUAUUCGGCCUACUCGUAAUGGAGACACUGUUCCAGCCUCUCCCUGUACUUUGCGGCCUUUAGCGGAAACCUGCUUCUGAACGCCGUUCAAAGAAAGCAGUACUUGCAGCGACAACUUCUCAGGGCCCAUCGCCUGCUGGCGGAGGCGGCUGUGGCAGACGUCGACGGGCACGGCGAGCGAUGCACCAGCGUGCGGGCCGCGACGCAGGGCACCGCGCGAAGACGCCCACUGACUCGGCUGAAGGCUGACUGGGGGUAUACACCACGCCGGCGCCGCCGAUCCAUGUGCUCCUGUGUGUAUGACCUGCGAAGCCACGGCAGCCCGGAGACCGUGCACGGGACCGAGAGACUGCACGGCCUAGGACCUUCCACGUUACUUAAGUUACACCAGCGACACGGCCCUACAAAGAGACGUGAGAAGUUAAAGCCAUGGCAGCGAGCAACUGCGAACAUGCUGACGCCCGCCUACGAAAAGUACAGAAAUUAUACUCGAAAAAAAAGAAAGCAAGCCGAAGCUAACUUUUCCAGGAUGUCUUGUUACCCUUGACACAUCGCACGAUCUGGCUUCUAAAAUUCACGAGUCCGAUACACAAUAUCAUG